GUAAGUGAUUGCACAUUAUUUAUGAAUAAAGGGAGUAAAGUUGAACUCCUCAUUUAGACCGUUCGGGGUCAGAGUUUUAAAAUAGUAGAUCCAUCUUGAUUCUUUCAUUAGUAGCAUUCGAUUAUAAUUUCCCUUUCUGGAGUUCAUAGAUACUUUUUCUAUGGCUUGAAAGGUCAAAUGAGUAGGAUCCCCAUCACGGUGUAGUCUCAUGUGAUUACCGACAGGGGUGGAAACCUUAAGAUUAGUAAUAGAGCAGAUGUGUUGAAG